rnacentral:rRNA from 1 species
GGGUAGUCCUGGGCGUAAAUGAUGUGGGCUAGGUGCAAAGCUACCUAAGUGGUAGCUUGGUGCCGAUGGGAAGCCGUUAAGCCCACCGCCUGGGGAGUACGGUCGCAAGGCUGAAACUUAAAGGAAUUGGCGGGUGAGCACCACAAGGGGUGGAGGCUGCGGUUUAAUUGGAUCCAACGCCGGGAAACUCACCGGGGGCGACAGCAGUAUGAAGGUCAGGCUGAUGACCUUACCAGACAAGCUGAGAGGAGGUGCAUGGCCGUCGUCAGCUCGUACCGUGAGGCGUCCUGUUAAGUCAGGUAACGAGCGAGACCCUCGCCCACAGUUGCCAGCAGAUCGUUUUAGAUGCUGGGGACUCUGUGGGACCGCUGGUGCUAAAUCAGAGGGAGGAGAGGACGACGGUAGGUCAGUAUGCCCCAAAUCUCCCGGGCUACACGCGGCCUACAAUGGGGCGAAACAAUUGGUUCCGACCCAGAGAUGGGGAAGGGUAAUCCCCUAAAUUCGCUCUAAGUUCGGAUCGAGGGCUGUAAC